rnacentral:rRNA from 1 species
UGAACGGCAGGGAUAUCGAAUAUAAGGAAUCGCGGACGCUUCCCUGAUCGACAGGGAUAAUCAACAUAAGGACCUACGAAGACUUCCAUGAACGACGGGAAUAGUGAACAUAAGGAACCGCAGAGGUUUCCCUGAUCGACCGGAUACUGAGCAGCUUCAUGAGCCACAGGGAUAUCAUGCGUAAGGCGUUGCGGAAGCUUCAUGACGGGGAUAGUGAACAUGUGGAAUUGCCGAAGGCAUCAUGCAGCCGCAGAAGCGUCUGACCAGCUGGAUAAAAAUAUAUGGCACUGCGCUCUA